rfam:Schistosoma margrebowiei strain Zambia genome assembly, scaffold: SMRZ_contig0001578
AGCCUUCUGAAUCCGUGGAAAGAUUUUGUCAGAUACCAACCCAUUAGGGCUGAUCAGACUUUCAAGAUUAGUUGUUGGCG